AAGCUCGUAGUUGAAUUUCGGGGUUAGUAGGUUGGUCAUGCCUCUGGUAUGUACUGGUCUCACUGAUUCCUCCUUCCUUAUGAACCGUAAUGCCAUUAAUUUGGUGUUGCGGGGAAUUUGGACUGUUACUUUGAAAAAAUUAGAGUGUUUAAAGCAAGCUAACGCUUGAAUACAUUAGCAUGGAAUAAUGAAAUAGGACGUUCGAUCUUAUUUUGUUGGUUUCUAGGAUUGGCGUAAUGAUUAAUAGGGAUAGUUGGG
rnacentral:rRNA from 1 species